rnacentral:rRNA from 1 species
UACGUAGGGGGCAAGCGUUGUCCGGAAUCAUUGGGCGUAAAGCGCGUGUAGGCGGCUCGGUAAGUCUGCUGUGAAAGUCCAGGGCUCAACCCUGGGAUGCCGGUGGAUACUGUCGAGCUCGAGUCCGGAAGAGGCGAGUGGAAUUCCUGGUGUAGCGGUGAAAUGCGCAGAUAUCAGGAGGAACACCAAUGGCGAAGGCAGCUCUCUGGGACGGUACUGACGCUGAGGAGCGAAAGCGUGGGGAGCGAACAGG